GACGAACGCUGGCGGCGUGCUUAACACAUGCAAGUCGAACGGAAAGGCCCUGCUUUUGUGGGGUGCUCGAGUGGCGAACGGGUGAGUAACACGUGAGUAACCUGCCCUUGACUUUGGGAUAACUUCAGGAAACUGGGGCUAAUACCGGAUAGGAGCUCCUGCUGCAUGGUGGGGGUUGGAAAGUUUCGGCGGUUGGGGAUGGACUCGCGGCUUAUCAGCUUGUUGGUGGGGUAGUGGCUUACCAAGGCUUUGACGGGUAGCCGGCCUGAGAGGGUGACCGGCCACACGGGAACGGAGACACGGGCGAGAGGCCUAAGGGAGGCAGCAGGAGGGAAGCUGGGGAAAAGGGCGGAAGCCUGACGGAGGAACGCGGAGUGAGUGAAGAAGGCCGUAGGAGCGGAAAAAUAGGUGAGUAGGGAAGAACAAAUGGGGAAGGAAAUAUGCACGGAGGGACGGUAACUAAUAAGAAAGCAACGGCUAACUACGUG
rnacentral:rRNA from 1 species